AUUAAGCAUAUAAUUAAGCGGAGGAAAAGAAACUAACUAGGAUUCCCUCAGUAACGGCGAGUGAAGCGGGAUGAGCUCAGGAUGUAAAUCUGCGCUAUUAAAGCGCCGAAUUGUGGUCUGUAGACUUUGGUGUUAUCUGCCGGGCCAAGUUCCUUGGAAAAGGACAGCUGAGAGGGUGAGACUCCCGUCCGCCUGGUAGAGUGAGCCUUUGUCAAAGAGUCGAGUUGUUUGGGAUUGCAGCUCUAAUUUGGUGGUAAAUUCCAUCUAAAGCUAAAUAUUGGUGGGAGACCGAUAGCGUACAAGUACCGUGAGGGAAAGAUGCAAAGAACUUUGAAAAGAGAGUUAAAGAGUACCUGAAAUUGCUGAAACGGAAGCGAAGGAAACCAGUGUUUGUUUGUUCAUAUUUCCCUGACCACUUGUGGUUUGGGCGCUGUGGGCUUGCGUCGGUUUGCUUUGGUUAAUCCCUUUGGAAGAGCGCAGUCAGAGUUGAUGUCUGUUGCUAGCACUGGGUUUGACUUGAGUAGACGAAAUGGUUUUCUUUACCCCGUCUU
rnacentral:sRNA from 1 species